CAGCAAACUUCAACGAGACAGUGAUGAAGUCUUCCGAGUCAAACCACAGCAUUUUUUGUUAAAAGGUUAACUGACUCUCAAUUAUUACCGUUGAGACACCUUUUGUGAAAAAAGUCACUGCCUGCGGAUACUUGUUUCAUAAAGUAAAAAAGAUUUCCUGGGCAUCUUAAUUUGAGAUACCUAAUCUCGACUGCACUUUUAUCAAAGCCAUUCUUGACUCCUUCAAAGCCAGGAGCAAAGAUUUAUGUUCAUCUUAGAUUUCCCACCAGGGUAGAUAUUAAAACUUCUUUAUAUAUUAAGUAAUCGAGUCUAACAUUGGAGUCCGGUCGUACUUAGUGUGGUUUCUGCUAUGAGGUUGCAACUAAUAAAAGGCAUUGGCACACAACAGACAGUCGUAAAAGGACUCGAAUCGCUUUAUUAUUUAUUUUUCCCCUAAUGAGGAGUUUUAGCGGGAAUGUUUAUUAGUGUAUUCUUCAAAGGAAGUAUCGAGACCGCCACAAAGGAACGGGAAACAGCCAUUUGACUUAAACUUGAAAGCCUUCUAGAAACCCCGGCCGUAACUAACAGCCAGGCCUCCCCGACUAAUUGUUAUAUUGCAAUAAUGUUUUAAUGUUUUAUAAUUCGAAAAAAAAUUAUUAUUAGCCUUUUUUAAUAACUAAAAACUAUGAUAAAAGAGUAUAAAUUCAUGAAAAACAUACAAAAUAGCUAGUAUGGAAAUAAUUAUUUUUUAUUAUUAUUAAGGUGCAGGUGGUAUGCUACAGUCGAUAAUAGUGAAAAACUUUGCUUAAUCACCCACCCCCAACGACAGGGUCUCUCCCUGCAUGCUGCCUACAAAAACCCUGCCUAGGAAAAAGUAAAGUUGCCAACAGUAAAUUUACCUUUAUGAGGACAUCUUAUUAAAAUAAUUCGGUCGACAGUGAUUA